rnacentral:lncRNA from 1 species
GGGGUUGUGGCUCCUCAGAUGUUAAUGCACUUCUUCCCUCUUUCGGUCCUUCGUGUUCUCACCCAGUGGCCACUUGCUCUUAUUUUCAGUAUGAUUUAAAGCUAAUUCCAAGUCAGAAGCUCCUACACGUCCAUGAGGGAUUUAUACAGCUUGAGAACAGGGAGAAGAAAGUGCAGCGAUUACACAAGGUGCAGGCUGCCCGACAGCCCAGGGAUAGAAUUUCUCCUUGAUCUUGAACGUCUGACUUUUAGGAGCUCUGGUAACAGGCUCUAGAGCAAAGAAGUCAGGGGAUAAAGGACAUGAGACGUAGACACAAGCCUUGCAGGCCGGUCAGCUCUGUGACAGCGAGCAACCACCGGGGUCGGAGGCCGAGGAGGCUGGCUGUCCAGCGUUGCCCGUGGAGAGGUUCACCUGCACGCUGCCCCACAGCCUGAAUGAGGGCCGGCAGGGGCGCAGAGCAGGUGGUUUAUGAGUAUUUACCCCAAGGCACUGAGUAAUCCUCCUCAAGCUUACUUCUCAACCCAUGUCACCUGGAAGGUGACAUUUCUUGGUGAUUGCUUGAUCUUUAAUAAAGGUGGGGGGGGAUGACUUUCCCUUCCACUGUGUCAGAAAUGAAAUUCUGGAAUUCCUGAGCUUCCUGGAGGUUCUUGCUGCAGAAGAACCUGUGUUCUUCUGGGUUUUCCCCGUCUAAACACUCAGCCGGGCGAAGGAAGUGGCUCCCUAGGGAGGAGGCGGGUGGCCAGGGAGUAACCUUGGCUGAUGACUCAUGUGCUGGGCGGAAAUUCCCUGUGCCCUGCAAGUGAGCUGUCCCAGGCGAGUCUAGAGAGUGAGUGCCUUUUCAGAAGCCUCUCAUGUGUAAUUCUGGAAGAGUCAUUUCCUUACUAGAAGUAUCUGGGUGAUAAUAACACACAUAUAGCCUUAAAAAGAUCAGUUGUAUUUUAAGAUUAAAAGUAUUAAGCAAGAGCUGGAAAGUCUUAAAAAACUGAGAGCCAGUUUCCCAUUGUUGAGAAUGUUCAUUAAAUGUAAGGCUCUUGUUGCAAAAGGCACAGGAAAUAGCCGGGGCACAGUGGGUUAAGAAUCUGACUGCGACGGCUCGGGUUGCUGUGGAAGUGCAGGCAGAUCCCUGGCCUGAGGCAGUGGGUGAAGGGAUCUGGCCUUACUGCAGCUGCAGCUCAGGUUUGGUUCCUGGUCCUGGAACUUCCAUAGGCCACUGGUGCAGCAUUAAAGAAAUAAACGAGCAGAUAGAAAGAAAUAGCUUGGGAUCGUGAGGCUGCGAGUCAUGUUGCAGACGUGUUAACUCGAUGGAGAGAGGUCCCUAAAAGCGUGCUGAGGUAGCGCCACCAGGUUUGCGUUUUAGGGCCCGGGGACUGUAUUUCCCCACCUCACUGUCAGGUUUGCUGUCCACGGCAGGGUUGACAGCAUCAGGGACAAAAGUGAACUAUUUUUCCUACCAGGUGAAGCUGAGUCACACAGCUCUGUCAUUGCAAAGCUAUUCUCUGCUCCCGCCUUCUUUGUAACUCUGCAGAGGUCCUGGAAGUUCUUGCCAUGGAUUAAGAGGAAGAUGAAAAGAUGAAGUGUUCCAGAAACCCCAGCUCCUUUUCCCGGGGUGACUGCCCUGCGGGGCGCCGUCUGAGGCAGGUGCUGUGGUGCCCAGCCCGGGACUGCUGUCUUUCCUGAGCUCGCAUGCGCCUUCACUGGGGGGACUCUUCCACCUUUGGGCGGGUGGCGUUCUUCCCUUCAAGAGACAAAAGGACACUUGUGAGUCACCAUAGUCUAGUCUGACUUUGGAGCCUAACAGCCCAAGUUUAGAGAAUCACAGAACGGGACUAACUGAAGGGUUGGUGUCGUGUUGUGCAUGUGAUAGAAACCAAGUCAUUGCCGUGCUGCUGCUCUUUUCAGACUUUUGCAGCCCCUUUCCAGUGGAGACUGACUUUUGCAGCCUUUUACCAGUGGAGACUGACUUCUGCAGCCCCUUUCCAGCGGAGACUGUUCUGGCGCAGGAGCGUGUGCCGUGGGCCUGGAGGAGGCCGGUGCCUGGUCUGGGGAAGUGUGGGGGGGUCGUCUGCGGGAAGAGGCCCCAGAUUCUGCAGGCAGAUGAGAUCAGAACACAUGUAGCAAACUGUCUGCAGAUCCACAGAGGCGUCUUGUUCAUCUGCAGCUUGGUUUGAGGAGUCACAAAAAAAGGGCGGGUCAAACACUGUGAUUUUGGACAGAUAUUAUCAGGCAGGUAACAUAAAUCUUCGCUCCACUUGGGCCAGGAGCCGAGCAGCUCACCAGGAUGCUGUGGAUCGUUAGAGGAGGGAUUGGUAAACUCUCCUGGGCUGGGUGCCCCCCCCACCCCCGAGGGCACCCCUCCCUGGAGAGCACCCCCUUCAGCAGGGCACCCCCCCCCUAGGCACCCCAGCUGGUGACCUGCCCAGCAAGUUGUCCAGGCUGCCUCUGGGGUCCCUCAUGGCUCCUUUUCUUUGAAAGACCCCAGGAAAGACUGAUGAUUUUUCCUCAGUGUGGAAAAAUGAUACAGCAAGGAAAAAAACACGACUUCACACUCACACAGACCUUCUAAAACCUAUCAGAUAACACAUCCGGGUAGAGUUGAAGGACUGAACUCUGAGCAGGCAGUUCCGGGAGCAGGGGCCGGACCACGUGCAGGCACAGUGAGGGGCGCGCUGGUUCCCAGCCUCGGGCUCUUCCUUAGCCUGGCGAUGUCUGGGCCAGGGGUGCGCAGGCCAGUGCGCUCUGAGGCAGCAGAAUGCACGACGAAGGCCAGAAGUUUACAAACUCAAGCUAGAAAAUGCUGUUGUAUUCGAAAUGCUUUCAAGACCAAUCAGGGACACAGUGGAAGGGGAGGAAUAGAACCACAGGAAAGUUAUUUCAAAGUAUUACACUCAUUAGAGGAAAUCGCCAGCAUGGAAAAUGUACACUGAAGCAAAGAAACACCGGAACGAGCAAGCAGAUAAUGAUAAAAGUGCCAGAAAGCUUAGUUCCUGGUACUUGAUGUUUGAAACUUAAAGUGAAGACCCUUCAUCACCUCUGUAGUCAAAAAAACAGCCUUUUGGUAGUUUUGGUUUGGCCUUAUGUUUUGAAAUAUCAGAACAGUAAUAGUUUUCCAUAGACAAAAUCCUCAAUCAAUAUCGUCAUUCUGUCUCAUAUAUUCUUUUGAAACAAUGUUUUUUUGAAGUAAAGCUGAUUUACAAUAUUGUAUUAGUUUCAGGUGUACAGAAUAGAAAUUCAGUUUUUUUUCCCCAGAUUAUAUUCAAUUGUAGGUUUUUCUAAGAUAACGGGUAUAAUUCCCUGUGCUAUAUAGCAUAUUCUUGUUGCUUAUCUAUUUUAUGUAGAGAAGUUUGUGUCUGUUAAUCCCGUAACCCUAGUUUGUCCCUCUCCCCCUUCCCUUUCGUAAUAACCAUAAGUUUGUUUUCUCUGUCUGUGAGUCUGUUUCUGUUUUAUACAUGCAUUCAUUUGUAUGAUUUUUUCGCUUCCACAUUUAAGUGAUAUAGUAUGUGUCUUUCUCUGACAUAUUUUGCUACACCUAAAAAUCUCCAAGUCCAUCUAUGUUGCUACAAAUUGUAAUAUUUCAUUCUUUUUUAUGGCUGAGUAAUAUUCCAUUGUGUGUAUGUACCACAUCUCCUUAAGCCAGUCCUCUGUUGAUGGACACUUGAGUUAUGUCCAUGUCUUGGCUAUUGUGAAUAGCGCUGCCAUGGACAUUGGAGCACACGUAUCUUUUCAAAUUAGAGCUUUCAUUUUUUCCUGGAUAUAUACCCAGACAUGGGAUUGCUGGAUCAUAUGGUAGGUCUAUUUUUAGUAUUUAAAGGACCCUCCAUACUGUUUUCCACGGUGGCUGUAUCAAUUUACAGUCCUACCAACAGUGUAGGAGGGUUCCCUUUUCUCCACACCCUCUCCAGCAUUUAUUAUUUAUAGACUUUUUAAUGAUGGCCAUUCUGACUGGUGUGAGGUGGUACCUCAUUGUGGUUUUGAUUUUCAUUUCUUUAAUAAUUGCAGUGUUGAGCAAUUUUUCAUGUAGCCAUCUGUCUUCCUUCUUUGGAAAAGUCUAUUUGUGUCCUCUGCCCAUUUUUUGAUUGGGUUUUGGUUUUUUGUUGUUGACUUGUAUGGGUUAUAUAUUUUGGAUAUUACCCUCUUGUUGACCACAUUGUUUGCAAAUAUUUUCUCCCAUUUUGUAGAUUGUCUUUUUGUUUUGUCAGUACUUUCCUUUGCUGUCCAGAGGCUUUUCAGUUUAAUUAGGUCCCAUCUGUUUGUUUUUGCUUUUAUUUAUUUUGCCUUGGGAGACUGAUCUAAGAAAAUAUUACUGUAAUUUAUGUCAAAGAGUGUUUCACCUGUGUUCUUUUCUAAGAGUUUUAUGGUGUCAUGUCUUACAUUUAGGUCUUUGGAUUUAUUUUUGUAUGAAGGAAUGUUCUAAUUUCCCUGCUUUGCAUGUAGCUGUCCAGUUUCCCCAGCACUGUUUAUUGAAGAGACUGUCUUUUCUCCAUUGUAUAUUCUUGCCUCUUUUAUCAUAGAUUAAUUGAUUCUAGGUGUGUGGGUUUAUUUCUGGGCUCUCUAUCCUGUUCCAUUGAUCUAUGUGCCUGUCUUUGUGCCAGUACCGUACUGUUUUGAUUACUGUAGCUUUGUAGUAUAGUCUAAGGUGUGGGUGGGUUAUACUUUCACCUUUGUUCUUUUUUCUAAAGAUUACUUUGGCAGUUUGGGAUCUGUGUGGUGCCAUAUGAGCUUUCGGAUUAUUUAUUCUAUUUCUGUGACAAAUGCCCAGGGAUUUCUGAUAGGGAUUGCACUAAGCCUGUAGAUGACUUUGGGUAGUAUGGCCAUGUGAGCACAGGAUAGCUUUCCAUUUCUUUGCAUUGUGUUUCGUUUCCUUAUCAAUGUUUUAUAGUUUUCAGUGUAUGGAUCUUUCACCUCCUCACUUGAGUUUAUUCCCAGAUAUUUUUUAAAUGUGAUUUUAAAUGCGAUUUUUCUGUGUGUAAUUUCUUUGUUUCAUUGUUAGCGUGUAGAAAUGCAGCAGAUUUCUGUGUACUAACCUUGUACCCUGAUGGGAGUUCCUGGCGUGGCACAGCGGUUAAUGAACCUAACUGGCAUUCAUGAGGAUGUGGGUUCAAUCCCUGGCCUCGCUCAGUGGGUUAAGGAUCCAGUGUUGCUGUGGCUGUGGUGUAGGCUGGCAGCUACAGCUCCAGUUUGACCCCUAGCCUGGGAACCUCCAUAU